rnacentral:rRNA from 1 species
AUUGAACGCUGGCGGAAUGCUUUACACAUGCAAGUCGAACGGCAGCACGGGGGCAACCCUGGUGGCGAGUGGCGAACGGGUGAGUAAUACAUCGGAACGUGCCCGGCCGUGGGGGAUAACGUAGCGAAAGUUACGCUAAUAUCGCACACGAUCUGAGGAUGAAACCGGGGGACCUUCGGUCCUCGCGCGAUUGGAGGUGCCGAUGUCAGAUUAGGUAGUUGGUGGGGUAAAGGCCUACCAAGGCGACGAUCUGUAGCUGAUCUGAGAGGACGACCAGCCACACUGGAACUGAGACACGGCCCAGACUCCUACGGGAGGCAGCAGUAGGGAAUUUUGGACAAUGGGCGCAAGCCUGAUCCAGCCAUUCCGCGUGAGGGACGAAGGCCUUCGGGUUGUAAACUGCUUUUAUAUGGGAAGAAAAGGCUCUGACUAAUACCUGGAGCUCAUGACGGUACCGUAAGAGUAAGCACCGGCUAACUACGUG